CUCAGGAAACAGAAGGCGUUCUCUCAGCCCCUCAUAUGUCUUCUUGCAUGUGGAGUGAUGCGUAGAAGGUGGGGAAGAGGCAUCAUGACAAGUGAAGAGGAAGGAACAAGUGGUUGGGAAAAAGGAAGCAACUGGAGGAGGUUGGAUGGGACUUGGCACCAUACGGGCUUGACCUUCCAGGGGAGAGAGGCUUCUGCGAGAUGCCUGAUGGGUAACAGCAGCAGUGGGUAUGGACUGUGGCGUAAUUGCAUUCCGCCUGUCUCCUACAUUUUUCUGGGUUGGGCACCAUUUGUUUCAAAGCUCCUGUCGUGUGGCCAUUAAAUCACCGUUUGCUCUG
ensembl:antisense Gm13837 predicted gene 13837